UACAGAGGGUGCAAGCGUUGUUCGGAAUUACUGGGCGUAAAGCGCACGUAGGCGGACUGUUAAGUCGGGGGUGAAAUCCUGGGGCUCAACCUCAGAAUUGCCUCCGAUACUGGCAGUCUCGAGUGCGGGAGAGGUGAGUGGAAUUCCCAGUGUAGAGGUGAAAUUCGUAGAUAUUGGGAAGAACACCAGUGGCGAAGGCGGCUCACUGGCCCGUAACUGACGCUGAGGUGACGAAAGCGUGGGGAGCAAACAGG
rnacentral:rRNA from 1 species